UUAAAUUGAAGAGUUUGAUCAUGGCUCAGAUUGAACGCUGGCGGCAGGCCUAACACAUGCAAGUCGAACGGUAACAGAAAGCAGCUUGCUGCUUUGCUGACGAGUGGCGGACGGGUGAGUAAUGUCUGGGAAACUGCCUGAUGGAGGGGGAUAACUACUGGAAACGGUAGCUAAUACCGCAUAACGUCGCAAGACCAAAGAGGGGGACCUUCGGGCCUCUUGCCAUCGGAUGUGCCCAGAUGGGAUUAGCUUGUUGGUGGGGUAACGGCUCACCAAGGCGACGAUCCCUAGCUGGUCUGAGAGGAUGACCAGCCACACUGGAACUGAGACACGGUCCAGACUCCUACGGGAGGCAGCAGUGGGGAAUAUUGCACAAUGGGCGCAAGCCUGAUGCAGCCAUGCCGCGUGUAUGAAGAAGGCCUUCGGGUUGUAAAGUACUUUCAGCGGGGAGGAAGGGAGUAAAGUUAAUACCUUUACUCAUUGACGUUACCCGCAGAAGAAGCACCGGCUAACUCCGUGCCAGCAGCCGCGGUAAUACGGAGGGUGCAAGCGUUAAUCGGAAUUACUGGGCGUAAAGCGCACGCAGGCGGUUUGUUAAGUCAGAUGUGAAAUCCCCGGGCUCAACCUGGGAACUGCAUCUGAUACUGGCAAGCUUGAGUCUCGUAGAGGGGGGUAGAAUUCCAGGUGUAGCGGUGAAAUGCGUAGAGAUCUGGAGGAAUACCGGUGGCGAAGGCGGCCCCCUGGACGAAGACUGACGCUCAGGUGCGAAAGCGUGGGGAGCAAACAGGAUUAGAUACCCUGGUAGUCCACGCCGUAAACGAUGUCGACUUGGAGGUUGUGCCCUUGAGGCGUGGCUUCCGGAGCUAACGCGUUAAGUCGACCGCCUGGGGAGUACGGCCGCAAGGUUAAAACUCAAAUGAAUUGACGGGGGCCCGCACAAGCGGUGGAGCAUGUGGUUUAAUUCGAUGCAACGCGAAGAACCUUACCUGGUCUUGACAUCCACAGAACUUUCCAGAGAUGGAUUGGUGCCUUCGGGAACUGUGAGACAGGUGCUGCAUGGCUGUCGUCAGCUCGUGUUGUGAAAUGUUGGGUUAAGUCCCGCAACGAGCGCAACCCUUAUCCUUUGUUGCCAGCGGUCCGGCCGGGAACUCAAAGGAGACUGCCAGUGAUAAACUGGAGGAAGGUGGGGAUGACGUCAAGUCAUCAUGGCCCUUACGACCAGGGCUACACACGUGCUACAAUGGCGCAUACAAAGAGAAGCGACCUCGCGAGAGCAAGCGGACCUCAUAAAGUGCGUCGUAGUCCGGAUUGGAGUCUGCAACUCGACUCCAUGAAGUCGGAAUCGCUAGUAAUCGUGGAUCAGAAUGCCACGGUGAAUACGUUCCCGGGCCUUGUACACACCGCCCGUCACACCAUGGGAGUGGGUUGCAAAAGAAGUAGGUAGCUUAACCUUCGGGAGGGCGCUUACCACUUUGUGAUUCAUGACUGGGGUGAAGUCGUAACAAGGUAACCGUAGGGGAACCUGCGGUUGGAUCACCUCCUUACCUUAAAGAAGC
rnacentral:rRNA from 1 species